UUUAAAUUUCAUUCUUUUUGCCAAUCAAAAUUUCGAAUUUUUCUGCUUUUCUUUUUUUUUUCUCUCUUGUACUAAUUUAGUUUCAGUUUUCAAAGACACCUUCUGAGUGUGCCCUCUUGUGAGUUCUCCGCUCAAGGCGUGCGGUUGUCCGGCCCGUUACAAUGGACUGACCCAUAUGAUCUAUGGAUGUAUCUCGUCUGUCAAAUCCUUAAAAGUGCGAGGUAAAUACAAACGAACAAAUGGCGACAUGAAAACAUGCACCACGAAUUAAAGUAAAAAGACUUUGCACUUCUGUUAGUAGCAGCGAUUAAGAAAUCAGUCACACUGGUUAUACAAAAUGGUUCUUGUAAAUGCUCUAGUAAUAAUAGUAAAAUCUGAAAGGUGUUUUUCUCAAACGCCAUUUUGCACCUAGGUAUUUCAUUGAUAUUUUAUUGGGAAAAAAAUGUAUACAUAUCUAGAUACGUCUGUUUAAGAGGUCUCAUCUUCCAAAUUCUUUGUAAAGAGGUUAAUAGCCUAAGAUGCUGAAUGUCUUUAAAUAAAUGAACUAACUAACUUUUCUAUAA